ACGGGAUGUGACAGAGAUGAUGUCAUCAGAGGGCGACCAGGUUGAAGUCGUCACAUGGAAACGGCCGGAAUGCGGAAUGUCAUCUUAUAUACCCAUCCAGCUGUGAACUCCAGUGAACAUUUGGGUGUUUUGCAACCGACUGUGAAGCGAAAUGGAUGAGGAUCAGGAUCUCCAAAUCUGAGGCCAUGGUCCUAAGUAGGAAUAAAGGUGGACUGUCUUCUCCAAGUGAAGGGUUAGGCCAUCAUAUUGACUCACCAUAAUUUGGACCUUCCAGAUAAGGUGGAUUAAAUCCUACAACCAGUUGAAACCCAGACAGGUGAUGUCCACUGAAGCAAUUAUGGAACCUCUGAAAUCAAUUGGCUGUGCUAGUGAUGAUCUAGGGAUGACAUAUUAAAGGGGAUUACAGUGUAUUUUACAUUUCUACAUUUCAAUUUGAUCCGUGACAAAAAAAGCCAAAUUCCAUCCACUGUGAUUCAAUGUUGUACACUAUUAAAAUAUGAAAACUUCUAAGGAAAUUAAUACUUUUUGUAGGUACUGUACAGGCAAAGCAAAGAAAUUCAAUCUGAGCUGUAUAUAGCAAGUUUUGAAUAACCUGCAAGAAUAUCUAAUUCUGUGAAAAGUUUGCUUUGUUCAGUCCCAGCAGCAGUAACACAUGUGAUGUGCAUAAAUAAGUAGAAAAUGAAGAGGCCAGGAAAGCCUUGGUGGCAGAUAUGAUAACUUGUUUUUUACUAGCCAUGUAAAAGACAGGUAACAGAA